rnacentral:rRNA from 1 species
CCCUUAGAUGUCCUGGGCCGCACGCGCGCUACACUGAUGCAUUCAACGAGUUUUUCCUUGGCCGAGAGGCCUGGGCAAUCUUUUGAACGUGCAUCGUGAUAGGGAUAGAUUAUUGCAAUUAUUAAUCUUGAACGAGGAAUUCCUAGUAAACGCAGAUCAUCAAUCUGCAUUGAUUACGUCCCUGCCCUUUGUACACACCGCCCGUCGCACCUACCGAUUGAAUGGUCCGGUGAAGCCUCGGGAUUGUGGCGAGUUCCCUUUAUUGGGAGUUUGUCGCGAGAACUUGUCUAAACCUUAUCAUUUAGAGGAAGGUGAANUCGUANCA